rnacentral:rRNA from 1 species
UCCCGGCGGUCCAAGUCGCAGCCAACAUUAUUGGGUCUAAAACAUCCGUAGCUUGCCUUGCCAGUCUGUUGUGAAAUUCUGUCUCUUAAGGGCAGAGAUUGCAAUAGAUACUACAAGGCUAGAGAUCGGUGGACGUAAGAAGUACACCUGAGGUAGUGGUAAAAUACGUUAAUCUCAGGCGGACUAACAACAGCGAAGGCAUCUUACGAUGACGAAUCUGACAGUGAGGGAUGAAGGCUAGGGGCGCAAAAUG